CCAGACUCCUACGGGAGGCAGCAGUGGGGGAUAUUGCACAAUGGGGGAAACCCUGAUGCAGCGACGCCGCGUGUGGGAAGACGGUCCUCUGGAUUGUAAACCACUGUCCCCAGGGACGAAGAUGACGGUACCUGGGGAGGAAGCUCCGGCUAACUACGUGCCAGCAGCCGCGGUAAUACGUAGGGAGCGAGCGUUGUCCGGAAUUACUGGGUGUAAAGGGAGCGUAGACGGCGAAGAAAGUCUGAAGUGAAAGCCCGCGGCUCAACCGCGGAAUGGCUUUGGAAACUUUUUUGCUGGAGUACCGGAGAGGUAAGCGGAAUUCCUAGUGUAGCGGUGAAAUGCGUAGAUAUUAGGAGGAACACCAGUGGCGAAGGCGACUUUCUGGACUGUACCUGACGCUGAGGCGCGAAAGCGUGGGUAGCGAACGGGAUUAGAUACCCGAGUACA
rnacentral:rRNA from 1 species